rnacentral:rRNA from 1 species
UACAGAGGGGGCAAGCGUUGUUCGGAAUUACUUGGCGUAAAGGGCGCGUAGGCGGCCUGCUAAGUCGAACGUGAAAUCCCUGGGCUCAACCCAGGAACUGCGUCCGAUACUGGUUGGCUUGAAUCCGGGAGAGGGAUGUGGAAUUCCAGGUGUAGCGGUGAAAUGCGUAGAUAUCUGGAGGAACACCGGUGGCGAAGGCGACAUCCUGGACCGGUAUUGACGCUGAGGCGCGAAAGCCAGGGGAGCAAACGGG